GUACGGGGGGGGCAAGCGUUGUUCGGAAUUACUGGGCGUAAAGGGCUCGUAGGCGGCCAACUAAGUCAGACGUGAAAUCCCUCGGCUUAACCGGGGGAACUGCGUCUGAUACUGGAUGGCUUGAGUUUGGGAGAGGGAUGCGGAAUUCCAGGUGUAGCGGUGAAAUGCGUAGAUAUCUGGAGGAACACCGGUGGCGAAGGCGGCAUCCUGGACCAACACUGACGCUGAGUGAGCGAAAGCCAGGGGAGCGAAACGGGG
rnacentral:rRNA from 1 species